AUUGAACGCUGGCGGCAGGCCUAACACAUGCAAGUCGAGCGAGCGGCGGACGGGUGAGUAAUGUCUGGGAAACCGCCUGAUGGAGGGGGAUAACUACAGGAAACGGUAGCUAAUCCCGCACACCAUCAGAUGUGCCCCGAUGGGAUUAGCUAGUAGGUGGGGUACUGGCUCACAUAGGCGACGAUCCCUAGCUGGUCUGAGAGGAUGACCAGCCACACUGGAACUGAGACACGGUCCAGACUCCUACGGGAGGCAGCAGUGGGGAAUAUUGGACAAUGGGCGCAACCCUGAUGCAGCCAUGCCGCGUGUGUGAAGAAGGCCUUCGGGUUGUAAAGCACUUUCGGCGGGAAGGCGUUACCCGCAGAAGAAGCACCGGCUAACUCCGUGCCAGCCGCCGCGGUAAUUC
rnacentral:rRNA from 1 species